AUCGAAAGAAAUAAAAAAGGAAAAAAGAAGAAAAGAAAAGAAAAAAAA
rnacentral:ribozyme from 14 species